GUAGGGCGCAAGCGUUAUCCGGAAUUAUUGGGCGUAAAGAGCUCGUAGGCGGUUUGUCGCGUCUGCUGUGAAAUCCCGAGGCUCAACUUCGGGUCUGCAGUGGGUACGGGCAGACUAGAGUGCGGUAGGGGAGAUUGGAAUUCCUGGUGUAGCGGUGGAAUGCGCAGAUAUCAGGAGGAACACCGAUGGCGAAGGCAGAUCUCUGGGCCGUAACUGACGCUGAGGAGCGAAAGGGUGGGGAGCAAACAGGCUUAGAUACCCUGGUAGUCCACCCCGUAAACGUUGGGAACUAGUUGUGGGGUCCAUUCCACGGAUUCCGUGACGCAGCUAACGCAUUAAGUUCCCCGCCUGGGGAGUACGGCCGCAAGGCUA
rnacentral:rRNA from 1 species